AGGCCGCCACCGGCGCUAGGAUCCAGAUCGGCUUAAGGCCGCCGGGACCCGUAGCAAGCCAAACAUACAUCCUGUGAACCUGUUUAAUCCCAUACAUGGUCAACAACAUACAUAACAAUUAAAAACUUUUCUUUCAUUCAUUCAAACAUUUCUUUGCCAAGCCUAGCCUGUGCAUGCACAAUCAUAACAUAAACCUCUCAUUGGAAUCCUCAUCAAAUAUUCCAAUGGGGUAACAUAACAUAACAUAGGCUUGGAUUACAUAAUCAUCAUAAAAACAUUAUAUCUCAUACAAGACCAUGCGUACUGGGAAUACAACAGACUCUAGUCAAGCACAUUAUCAAACUUACAUUACAUUACAUCUCAUACUUAUACAUUACCAACAAACCAUGUCCACAGCUAAGCUAUUACAUAAACUUCUCUUACUCUGCUGACUUCUCUAUCUACUCUGCACCUGCAAGACUGGGGUUAGGGGAGAGGGGGUGAGCUAUAAAGCCCAAUGAGCGGAAACUAAAAAUAUUUGUUUUAAUUCCACCCUUUUUAGGUAUAUUAUUAUUCAUUUUAUUAUUAUUAUGAUUCCUCCAUUUUUAGGUAUAUUAAUUAUAUAACUUUUUCUUAUUCAUGCUUUCAUGGAAUGCAACACAUCACAGCUAAUCACAUAAAGGAUGAAUUUGUCACCAAUAGCCCUCUAAAUUUCCAUUCGUGCCAGAACGUAGAAUGGGUCCUGGUCUUUCUCUUACAUAGUGCCAGGGACGUAGAAUGGGUCUUCCUGGACUUCCAUACCAUAUCAUCAUCAUAUCAUGACAUAACAUACAAGGGCUAAUGGAUCACUCAACAUUCAUCCACAUCAACAUCAAUUUAUGCAAUGCAGCAUAUUCGUGAGUUCUAAUGCAAACAUCCUGAAAUAUUGCAUGGCAUAAUGAUGCAUGGGCAAUGCUUUAUGAUUCAUUCAUUUAUUCAUUUAUUCAUUCACUUUAAAACUUAAGAAGUUGUUCCACUCACCUGAUGACUGAAGCUGUAACAACGAACUCGGAACGACUAUCUCACAACCGGGGGUCUCGGUUCCUCGGGUCCGAACCUACACAGGUGGACUCAAAUGAGGCACCAAACAACAAGAACAUAACUCUAGACAUACCCCCAAAAACCUCCUAAAACAUCACCAAAACACUCCUAGGAAACAUGCAAGAAAAAGGCUGGACAGGGCACUUUCGGCGGCACCUUCGGCGGCCGAAAGUCCCUCC
rnacentral:lncRNA from 1 species